rnacentral:lncRNA from 1 species
AAUGUGACAAAUUUCAAACAAAUACAUUAAUAUGACAAAUUUCAUUACAAAAGUUCAUUUUUGUCCACAAAAUCCGGUCCCGAUUUCUCCCUAGGACUUUCACUCGAAAGUAACUCAAAACUUACAACUUUAAGAAUGAAACAUAAAUUUGAAUUGGCAAGUUAACCAGCAUCAAAGAUAACAUUCAGUUCAAGAAAACAUAUAUUCACAUAACUGAAAUUACAAUUUCAUUUAAAAGAAAAUACAAUUCUAGUCGGCCAAAUUCCAAUCUCAUUCCCUUCAGUUACGUGCUCUUUCUUUGCAUACAGUCACAUUCGUAGAAAUCUCUGUGUCUUGUUCAUCAGUUAACCGUGCUCUUUCUUUCCUCUCAUGNNN